CCUACGGGUGGCUGCAGUGAGGAAUAUUGGUCAAUGGACGAGAGUCUGAACCAGCCAAGUAGCGUGAAGGAUGACUGCCCUAUGGGUUGUAAACUUCUUUUAUAUGGGAAUAAAAUGAUCCACGUGUGGGAUUUUGUAUGUACCAUAUGAAUAAGGAUCGGCUAACUCCGUGCCAGCAGCCGCGGUAAUACGGAGGAUCCGAGCGUUAUCCGGAUUUAUUGGGUUUAAAGGGAGCGUAGGUGGUGUGUUAAGUCAGUUGUGAAAGUUUGAGGCUCAACCGUUGAAUUGCAGUUGAAACUGGCAGUCUAGAGUACAGUAGAGGUAGGCGGAAUUCGUGGUGUAGCGGUGAAAUGCUUAGAUAUCACGAAGAACACCGAUUGCGAAGGCAGUUCACUGGACUGCAACUGACGCUGAGGCUCGAAAGUGUGGGUAUCAAACAGGAUUAGAUACCCGUGUAGUC
rnacentral:rRNA from 1 species